rnacentral:rRNA from 1 species
UACGGGGGGAGCAAGCGUUGUUCGGAUUUACUGGGCGUAAAGGGCGCGUAGGCGGUCAGCACAAGUCAGUUGUGAAAUCUCCGGGCUUAACUCGGAAAGGUCAACUGAUACUGUGCGACUAGAGUGCAGAAGGGGCAACUGGAAUUCUCGGUGUAGCGGUGAAAUGCGCAGAUAUCGAGAGGAACACCUGCGGCGAAGGCGGGUUGCUGGGCUGACACUGACGCUGAUGCGCGAAAGCCAGGGGAGCGAACGGG